ACAUAUAAAUUGCCUGAUGUAACGUUCAGGCUUAGUCUCCCUGUGGCCAGUAACCAGCACAGAACGCUCUGGACAGAACCUGUUCCUAAUGAGCAAUCUGCUGCUCCUGGCAUCUUCAAAAUCCUCAGCUGUCCACACUGCUCCCUGACAGGGAGAACCUCACAGAAAGAAGGAGAUUUUUGUCUUCUUACUUUCCUUCUUUUUCUUGUUUUAUAUACGUCUCUUGUAACUCUGGUCACAUAGUAUGGUAAUACUGUGUGAAUAACCUGUACUGUCAAUGACCAAGGACAUACUUCUUGCACAAUCGGCCAAGUAAUCUUCAUGGUCUCCAUCUGAGACUGAUCUACCUACCUUCGAAUCCAUCGACGGUACAGCGACAUCUUACGCACCGCCCUCGCCCUGAUGAAGAGGCGAUACUUUAUUU